CGGACGAAUUGUCCGCUGCCGCUGCCGUUCAUCGGCGCCGUCGCCGCCGGCGAGCGGCGCGGCUCUCCCUCUCUCUCUCGGCACUCUCUUCUUCCUAAACUCUCGUCCUCUCUCCUCUACUCUCUAUCUGCUGGAAACAGGACGCACGCCGCCGUCAAAGCGGUGCACCGUCGCUGCUGCCUCCGUCGCCCUCUCUCGGCCUCCGGCAAAGCAACCACCGCGGUGCCGCCGCCGUGAAGCAGGUAAAACCUAACUCCCUCUCUACUUUCCUCAUUUUCUUCUCCUUUUAAAUUAAAACUGAAAACUCCUCUCUCUCUCUUUCGAUUUGGCUGAAUCGGAGCAACGGCGACGUCACGGCUGUCACGUUACCGCCGCCGCCGCCGACGACGAGCCACCAUGGCUCCGCCGCUGACCGCCGUCUGGAAACAGAUCGGAAGCCACCGCGGCUCCGUCGCCGUCCGUUGACCACCGGCAGCCACCGCGGCUGCCGUCUCCCUCGGAUCUCACACAAAACAGGGGCUCACCCCAUAUUUCAGUCAAACACAUAGAAAUAGGCUUUUUACUGAAUUCAUUUUCAAAUACUGAAAAUGUUCUUCAAUCGAGCAUACUGCACUUAAACAUUCAUUCCUG